rnacentral:tRNA from 1 species
GCGCCUGUGGCGUAAUUGGUAGCCGCGCCAGACUUAGGAUCUGGUGUCUCGCGACGUGUAGGUUCGAGUCCUAUCAGGCGCA